GACGAACGCUGGCGGCGUGCUUAACACAUGCAAGUCGAACGGAAAGGCCCUGCUUUUGUGGGGUGCUCGAGUGGCGAACGGGUGAGUAACACGUGAGUAACCUGCCCUUGACUUUGGGAUAACUUCAGGAAACUGGGGCUAAUACCGGAUAGGAGCUCCUGCUGCAUGGUGGGGGUUGGAAAGUUUCGGCGGUUGGGGAUGGACUCGCGGCUUAUCAGCUUGUUGGUGGGGUAGUGGCUUACCAAGGCUUUGACGGGUAGCCGGCCUGAGAGGGUGACCGGCCACAUUGGGACUGAGAUACGGCCCAGACUCCUACGGGAGGCAGCAGUGGGGAAUAUUGCACAAUGGGCGGAAGCCUGAUGCGGCAACGCCGCGUGCGGGAUGACGGCCUUCGGGUUGUAAACCGCUUUCGCCUGUGACGAAGCGUGAGUGACGGUAAUGGGUAAAGAAGCACCGGCUAACUACGCGC
rnacentral:rRNA from 1 species